rnacentral:rRNA from 1 species
UGAGAUGUUGGGUUAAGUCCCGCAACGAGCGCAACCCUCAUCCUUAGUUGCUAUCAGGUAAUGCUGAGUACUUUAAGGAAACUGCCAGUGAUAAGCUGGAGGAAGGUGGGGAUGAUGUCAAGUCAUCAUGGCCUUUAUGGAGUGGGCUACACACGUGCUACAAUGGUGUCUACAAUGGGUUGCAAGGUGCGCAAGCUUAAGUUAAUCCCUAAAAGACAUCUCAGUUCGGAUUGUACUCUGCAACUCGAGUACAUGAAGUUGGAAUCGCUAGUAAUCGUGGAUCAGCAUGCCACGGUGAAUACGUUCUCGGGUCUGUACACACUGCCCGUCACGCCAUGGGAAUUGGUU